AACGGCGAGUGAAGCGGCAAAAGCUCAAAUUUGAAAUCCCCCGGGAAUUGUAAUUUGAAGGACRGGAGAACCCCUCCAAAGUAUCUUUAAGUCCAUUGGAAAAUGGCGCCACAGAAGGUGAUAGCCCUGUAAAAAGCUACUUUGUUGAUAUUUCUCCCGCCCAAAGAGUCGAGUUGUUUGGGAAUGCAGCUCUAAGUGGGUGGUAAAUUCCAUCUAAAGCUAAAUAUUGGCGAGAGACCGAUAGCGAACAAGUACAGUGAUGGAAAGAUGAAAAGCACUUUGAAAAGAGAGUGAAAAAGUACGUGAAAUUGUUGAAAGGGAAGGGCUUGCAAGCAGACACAACCUCGUGUUGGGCCAGCAUCGGGGCGAGGGGAGCCAAAAAAGUGUUGGAAUGUGGCUCUUUUAGAGUGUUAUAGCCUUCACCAAUAUCUCCAUCUCAUCCCGAGGCCUGCGAUUCUUCAAGGAUGCUGGCGUAAUGGUUGCAAGUCGCCCGUCUUGAAACACGGACCAAGGAGUCUAACGUCUAUGCGAGUGUUUGGGUGCCAAACUCAUACGCGCAAUGAAAGUAAUAGGAGCGAACCUUUAUCGGUGCAGCUUCGACCACAUUGAGGCCUAAACCACAAUGUGAGUAAGCAUGGCUGUUGGGACCCGAAAGAUGGUGAACUAUACCUGGAUAGGGUGAAGCCAGAGGAAACUCUGGUGGAGGCUSGUAGCGGUUCUGACGUGCAAAUCGAUCGUCGAAU
rnacentral:rRNA from 1 species